rnacentral:lncRNA from 1 species
CUGUCUUCCAGCAUCCUCAUCUCGCUUGUAAGGAUAAUAGCCUUCCUCUAAACCUCACACACUUUUGGAGGAGAUCACUUUUUUUAAAGUGCAUGGAAAUGUUUUGAAACACUGAAAUCUAUAAUGAUAGGUUUCAUAAUUCUAACAUCCACACCAUAUGAAUCACAUCCUUCCUGAGAUAAUGAGCACACAAUUGCCUGGAUACCUGAAGGAAUGGAGACAGUGGCAGAAAACACUGCAGAGAGGUGGAAACAUCCGUUAAUAUUUUAAAAUCCCAUUACUGCUACCAACAAUAAUAAUGGAUGCAUAGAAAUAGAUCUGGAUUAGCUGAGCUUGAAACAGUCCAUCUCACACACACACAAAAGAAUUUCAGUGGUAACAGACGCAUAAGGAACUGCUCAGAGUAGUACAGAAGGAACUCUAAUGCGCAGGCGCUUCGGUGGGGCAGCAGCAAAUGUGCGUGAUCUGGCUAAAGAGGGAACCCAGAAAGGGUGUCAGCUCCAAAUAUGGAUUAGCCACAGCCUUUCCACGAGGGGGAAUGAUACAGUGAACCCACAUGUUGAAGCUUUCUAG